UUCUUUCGCAACCCACGCAUCCCUCCCCGCCCGCCCGCACGACCGCUCCCCCACGUCGCACACGAUUACGGAAGCAGUUCCCAGUAGAAGCUCCAUCGCCGAGGUGGUGGAGGGCAGCUGGAGGUGGAGGGGGGCGGCGGCAAGCUUGUCGAUUUCAGGAGCGACUUCUGGCGGCCGCCACCUCAUCGGUGGCUCCUGCUUCCUCUGGCGGCGGCGGCAGCUACAUGAGGAUUUGGCUUCCGCCGGUGGCAGAGGUCCCGACUCCCAUUCCCGUUCGAAUCUGGCUGGGGCGGCGGAGGUCCCGGCUCCCGUUCCCCGUUCGAAUCCGGCAGGGGUGGCGGAGGAUCCGGCUCUCGUUCCCCAUUCGAACCCAUCUUGGGCAGCGGUCCAGGCGGCCAUGGGUGCUGGUGCCACGGGCAGAUCCCGGUGGUGUUGGGUGUCUCCGUGGCGGCCAAGUCCAGGGUCUUCCUCGGCGGCCCAGCGUCAGGCCAGCCCGGGUCUUCCUCGGUGGCCUCACCUUCUCCUCCAGCGUUGUACCCUGGCAUCCUUAUAUGUGGAGGUGGAAGAUGCCCUGCAGUCAUAAGCAGGCACCACCGGCCAUGAUUUCUCCUGGUAACUGUGCACAUCCUCUGCAAAUCACAAGCUCCUGUGCUCCAAACAGGUCAGGUCCUCUGAUUUCCCCUCCCUAUAAUCCCCAUGGCGACGGACCCUUGCCUCCACUAUCAAUUUGUGCUGCCACCCUCACCUUGCCCCCUCUUAUUUUAUUUAUCCAUAUCUAGUUUUAAUAGAUUUCAGUAUCCAUCUGGUCCGUGCAAGGUUCACAACUUAAUUUUAGGUUUGUAGUUCUGAUUCAAUAAGAUUUGACUAAUUCUUGGAGCACUCCCGUGAAGAAAAUCCUGGUUCCAUGGAUAUAGCAGUAUUUAAAUUUUAAUCCCGUUUCAGCUUAGUCCAUUUCUUUUAUUGUCAGCGAGUUCAGAUCCUCAGAUCUACUUCUAUUACGUACAUGAUUAUGCCGAUCCGUGUACCUGUACAUCUUGUAGAAUAAGACUGUAUGUUUGUUCUAAUCUUGUUUUACAAUUCCUGCUGAGAUCUUUAUGAUCUACCUAAUGAGCAGGACAUGAAUAUGGGGCAAGCAUACUUGUAAAAUUUAUGUUUUCAUAUUCACACCUGGCAUAAAAAUUUGCAAUCAUGCUACUUUAGUUGCAAAUGCUCGAGUUCUUUAUGGUUUGAAAAACAAGGACGUCUUGUGAUGCAAGACUGCACAGAAUUAAAGUUUCAUGUUCAUAAAUGGCAUCAUAUGCGAAUAGCACAUUUGCAAAUAAGUUGUGUCUUUACAGUUUACAAAAAUAUAAAGUUCUUGCUAUGUUGCAUUGCCAUAGAAUUUAUUUUUUUGUGUUCGCACAUGGCAUUAUUUGCGAUCAGGUUACUUUAGUUGUAAAUAGUUGAGGUCUUUAUUGUUUAUAAAAUAACAAUUUGUUAUAGCUGCUAGAUUGCAUAGAAUUAGUUUUUUAUGUUCGUACAUGGCAUUAUUUACUAUCAGCAUAUUAUUGGGAGCAAAUAAUUGAGGCCUUUAUGGUUUAAGAAAUAGAAUGAUCAUCUUACAUCUAGCCCCAAAAUCUUUGUCCCCAAAAUUGAUAUUCAUACUGAUCUCUAGUUCAUCGGUAGAAUCCCCAAAUUUUACUUCUAUCUACAACUUUGAAUCCCUUAAAUCCUUUGAUGGCACUGUUCAUUUUUAAAUGGCAUUUGUGGGUAUAUAUAUGCUGGGUUGGUGAUGGACUAUAUAUUGCUUAAAGGUUUGAUCUGAUUAGGAUUAUUACGGAACUUCAGUGUUCCAGAUUUCUGCCAUUUAAGUACAUCACUGAAUCUUGUAAUUGCUGAGUGUUAUCUCAUGGAUCUAUGGCAAUAGUUCACUCAUAUGGAUAGAUUACCACUUCUUGUAUACGCCACUUUUGAGCAUUUGUCCUCUAUUGAUUGAUUCAUGGCCCUUACAACAAAGCAUACUGAAUUUAGUAUGACACGUGAUGUUGGUUUCAGAGAAUAUUAUUUUUAGACUGAUGGAUGACAUGCAUUUAGUAUUUAUUUUCUCCAUAGUAGUAUAUCCAUAGCCCUCGAAAAAGAGUUUAUUUGUCACGAAAGAGAAUAUUAUCAGCUACUGGCUAAAUAAUCUCAAGGUAAAAUAUCUUAGCUGGUGAUUAUUGUUGUAACAUAUUUUAGGUAAAAUAGUUUAUUGGUAAAUAGUUUUGCUUUUGCAGAAUGGAUUGACUUGUCUUGAAUCUGCAUUCAGAUGCAAGGAAUGUUGUGAUUUGCUGACUGAAAUAACAGGGCUUCUUUUCUAAUUGAACCUAUUGUUUCUCUAAAUCUGGAUGAUAAGUAUGAACCUAUUACAUCAGGAUGUGAGCUAAUGACCACAUGACUCCUCAAAUAGAUUAACAUGACUCAAAUUGUUACACUGCAAUGGAAUGAUGACCUGAAAAUGCACACACUGUCAUCGUGGUGAAGUACCUUGUGUCCCUUUGCACCAAUGUUGCAUAGGCGGUGUGGGGCGUUCCUUCUCCCACUCAAAUACCUGAAUCUGUGUUCUUAAUCCUGGUGAUUAUACAGUCUUUUGUAUGAGCAGGAUGCUCCUAGUUCUCAGGCACUCCAUCUUAAUCGUAGUAUAUGCAAUCCUUUCUAGCACUGCAUUCUGAUAUGAUCAAGAUCAUUAUGAAGUUUUUUUCACAUAUUUGAUUAUUUGUGAUAAGCUAGGAAACUAAUCCAGUGCUUGAUUGUCUUAUUUUCUAUUAGGCUAUUGUGACUUUGGCCGCAUGUAUUAUUUAUGGCCACACCAUUUUAGUUUU